rnacentral:rRNA from 1 species
AACGAACGCUGGCGGCAUGCCUAACACAUGCAAGUCGAACGAGACCUUCGGGUCUAGUGGCGCACGGGUGCGUAACGCGUGGUAACCUGCCCUUAGGUUCGGAAUAACUCCCCGAAAGGGGUGCUAAUACCGGAUAAUGUCUUCGGACCAAAGAUUUAUCGCCUUUGGAUGGGCCCGCGUUGGAUUAGCUAGUUGGUAGGGUAAAAGCAUACCAAGGCGACGAUGCAUAGCUGGUCGGAGAGGAUGAUCAGCCACAAUGGGACUGAGACACGGCCCAGAAUGCUACGGGAGGGAGCAGUGGGGAAUAUUGGACGAGGGGCGAAAGCGUGAUACAGCAAUGCCGGGUGAGUGAUGAAGGCGUUAGGGUUGUACAGCUCUUUUAGACGGGAUGAUAAUGACAGUAACGGGAGAAUAAGCUCCGGCUAACUACGUG